rnacentral:ncRNA from 1 species
CAACCUGAGAGUUUGAUCCUGGCUCAGAGCGAACGCUGGCGGCAGGCCUAACACAUGCAAGUCGAACGAAGUCUUCGGACUUAGUGGCGGACGGGUGAGUAACACGUGGGAACGUGCCUUUAGGUUCGGAAUAACUCAGGGAAACUUGUGCUAAUACCGAAUGUGCCCUUCGGGGGAAAGAUUUAUCGCCUUUAGAGCGGCCCGCGUCUGAUUAGCUAGUUGGUGAGGUAAAGGCUCACCAAGGCUACGAUCAGUAGCUGGUCUGAGAGGAUGACCAGCCACAUUGGGACUGAGACACGGCCCAAACU